rnacentral:misc_RNA from 1 species
AGACACGUCGUUACUAUACUUUAUCGCGGUUCAAAACCUGUCGGUCUGCAUUCCAGUGUGCUGGUGGACGCCAAGCGUCGUGUUCUAUGAGAAGUUGAUCUUAUUGAAGCUUACAACGAUUCUCGUGAAAAAAAUGAAACGAUUUGCUAAAAAUUAUUAACGGAUUUAUUAUUUCUAUUCUGUAAGAAAGAUUGUGAUCUAUUCACGGGAAAGUUAAGGAUCUGGAACAAAUAGAUCGUACGGCUGGAUCGAAGGAAAAAGGAAUGUGUCAAGAUGCGAUCUGUGCCCUUUCCAUGUGGCAUUGUUACGAUUCUAUUUUAUGUUUUAGCCAGUCUUGUAUAUGGGCAAAGGCAAGAGUUAGGCAUGUCUUUUACCAGACAUCCACAACCAUUGGAUGCACCAAUAGGCGAUGACGUAAAUUUUGAAUGUAAUUUGAAUCUUGGCGCAGAACGUUUUUCUUGGCGCCAUAGACCAUUGAAUUCGGAUAAGUGGUUGCCAGUUUUUCACACAAUUAGUAAUGGUGGCAAAACAUCUAGGCAUGUGGUGAAAUUUGAUAAUGAAUCGAAAGCCGGAGAUUAUCGUUGUAUAGCUUUUUAUGGUUCAAGUGGUUUAGCUUCUGAUCCAGCAAGAUUAACAUUAGCUACACUACACAACUUUUCUGAUAAAAACGAUGUUAUUAUAAACGUUCCAGCAGGAAAUAUUGUACCUAUUACUUGUCCUGUACCUUAUUCUGCACCAGAAGCGAUAGUUCAGUUUUAUAAAAAUAAUAAUCUCAUACAAAAUGUUAAUAUAAUUGGUAGCAAAACUAUGAUUAUUGAGAAUGCUAAAAUAUCAGAUAGUGGAUCUUAUUACUGCACUGCUAGCAAUUAUAUAACUACACAAAUAUAUUCGAGUAACUAUAAAACAAUUUUAAAUGUACAUAAAAACAUUAGUUUUUUAGCACCAUAUUUUGUUAAGCAACCACAAACAGAAUACAAAGUUUUACGGGGCAAAAAUAUAACAUUAGAGUGUUUUGGUGCUGGCUAUCCAGUACCUUCCGUUACAUGGAGUAGAUUAGGCAGUCCGUUACCAUCAAAUUCCAUAAAAACUCUGAUAGGCUUAAUGAUAAUUAAUGUUCAGCCAUCAGAUAGAGGAGAAUAUGAUUGUAUGUGGAGUAGCAAUAAUGCACAUAUUAAAUCUGUAAUUAUAUUAAAAGUAAUGGAAGCUCCAAAAGUAAUUAAACCACCGAAGGCGUCCACAUUCUCUGAAGGUGGAGAAUUAGAACUUUCUUGUGCAGUAACUGGUGAACCACAACCAAAAGUUGAAUGGUUAAUUAAUGGAGAAUCCUUGACACCUAGUGAUAAUGUGGAAAUCAAAGGUUCUACACUUCUUAUAUCUGAAGUUGAGAAAAAACAUGCUGGUAUUGUCCAGUGUGUCGCGAGUAACGAAUAUGGGUCUCAUUCUGGUUGCAAUUUGCUAAGAGUAAAUCCUAAACAACAUAUUGGAACAGAAAUCAGACAGGAUUAUGGAAUUUCUAAUUCAAAACAUAAACACACUAGAGGAGGAGGUAGACGAAGAAGUAAGGAAGGGAAACAUAAAGGCACUGCGGUAUUAGUACCACCGAACCAGCCAAAUGUCACAAGGCUUUCAGAUGUGUCGGUAAUGGUUAGAUGGUCUGUACCUGAAAAUACAGGAUUGCCGAUUCAAUUUUUUAAAGUUCAAUAUCGAGAACUUGGACAAAAGAUGAAUGGCAAACAAGCCAAAUGGAUGACUGCAAAUUCAGAAAUACCGAAUAAUGUACGGGCUUUUGAAGUAACCGAUUUACAACCUGAUCAUACUUAUCGAUUUAGAAUUGCUGCAGUUUAUUCAAAUAAUGAUAAUAAACUUAGUCCAAAUUCCGUACGUUUUCAUCUUAACAAAGAUGGUGGAAUCGAAAGUAAUAAAAUGCCUAUACCUUUGUUAACGAACACUGAGGCUUUAGGUCCGCAUGAAGUAUUACUAAUUUGGCAAAAUUUAGAUAAAUUGGCAAAUAUCGAUGGUUUUUACGUAUACCAUAGAGCCUCUACUACAGCUGGAGAUUACAUAAAAACUACAGUUGAGGGCAAAGAUUCUUUCAACAUAACUAUUUCCCACUUGCAACCAGAUACAACAUACGAGUUUAAAGUACAAAGUUUUUCUGUGGAUGCUGCUUCAGAAUUUUCUCAAAUUCUUCGACAAAAAACAAAAAAAUCUUUGAAUAUGAAUGAACAUAACGAUUAUAAUAAUCGAAAUGAUCAUAGCAGCAAUCUAACAUUAGAUAGUCGAGUAAGACCUGCAGAUGAUAAAAAUGUGAAUAUGUAUGCCAUAAUUGGCGGAGUUCUCGGAGGAUCGACUUUGCUAGGUAGUUUAACCGCGGUUGCGGUAAUAUAUAAAAGAACAAAAUACAAACAAAGUCGAGAAUCAUCGCAAAGUGAAGGGAAACCAAUAACAAAUGGGAGAAUAAUGAAUGGUGGAGUAACUGAUUCAAAAAUAAACAUAACUUCAAAUCCACUUGCUGGUCUUGAUACAUCUGAAGAUAUAAUACAGCCUAAGGUCGGUAUUUCUUUAGCCAUUGGUCGCGUUCUUUAAAUUCUACUUGCACAUUCUCUGCACUCUCUCUGGAAGCCGCUUUUCUUUUGUAUUUUCCGAACACCAUAUACACCGGACAACAGUCGCAGAUGGAAAUGGCUUCGUUUCUUAAUGGACAAAACAACAGCAACAACAACCAUAACAAUGAUACUGUUGGAACUGACCAGUGAAGACCAAUAGACUGAGAUCUCUCUUUGCUCCAGGGGUCACUGCCAACACCUUCUCUGCAAACAACUAUUUUAUAUGUGCUUCGAAAAAUCUUCAGACUAUAUAUUUUCAGAUUGAAGUUACAUCAAACUUUUAUAAAGAACGCCAAUAUUGUGACAAGAAUCAAGACAAAGAUGUACAAACAUUAAUAUUGCAAUGAUAUUUUUUUUUUAGUGAGACUUUAAAGAAACUUUAGUCAUCUGUUAGAUUUUACAAUGAAUAAUCAAUUUCAAGACAUUUACAGGGUGUCAUAAUAGGUAUGCUCAAAUAUUUCGAUCGAAAUUGUUAGACACGUAUUUGCCUAACGAUCGUAUACUACGAAUCCAGUUUUUCCCAUUACACGGUAAAUUGCGAUUUUUUAAAGCUCAAGAUAGAAUAAGGAAUUCGUGAUCGAUCAUGAAAUGGUUAAAAUUUGCAAAGUACCUGUCUAAUAUCUUCUUCGAUUUCUUUUUUUUCUUUUUUUUUAUUUCUAUAUUUUUAUCGCUCUCUUAUUAUAUAUACCCAUUUGACAGUCUGAUAAUUAGUGAGUUUGGAAUUAAUUAGAAAUUCAUAAUUUCGUAAUUGAAUUAUAUUCAUUUUCGUGAUAUUUAUCAUAUUUUUAUAUUAAUUUUAAUCCAGGCAGCUUUUACAAGUUAUGUUUGUUUCCUGAUUUAAAUUAAUUAGCGUUUAUUAUUUUAUGUUGUAAAUAAUUAGUAGUUAUGUUGAAUUUAGGACGAAUGAUAUUGUGCCUGAUAAAAAAGACAGCUGUGCUAUAUAUUUUAUAUUUUAUUAUGCUUUAGAUUAUUAUUUGAUAUUAUUUGAUUUAUUGAAAUUUUUAGACUCUGCUAAAUUGCGAUAGAAUGAAAUUUUAUUCAAAUUUUUUUUUUUUAAAUUAUCGUUAUUAUAUAUUGCAUUAUAUGUAUUAUACUUAUUCAUACAUUAUGAUGUUGAAAUUGAUAAAAUAAUAAUUUUAAAUAGAUUCAUUCUUAUGUUAGAACGAAUCUCAUAUGAAUUGCUGCUAAAAUAAUAGAAAUAAUAGAAAUAAUUCAGUCAUACAUUGCUAACAGUAUUUGUUAUAUAAUAUCAAGGAUUUAACUUGUAAUAACAGUAUUUUCCUAGCAUCAAAUUAGAUAUCGUAAGUUCUUUAGCAAUCAAUAUUAAUUUUCUGACGGUAAUAAAGCUUUACGAUGAAUCAAAAAAUUUAAGAAUCAUGUGAAAAAAAACAUUAAUUUUUAUUAGUAAAAAUUUCGAU